AUGGCCACCCCUUCCACCUCCGCCUCCACGGCCGCCUCCUCGGCAUUCCCCCUCACUACUGCUGCCCGCUUCCCUCGCGCCUCCACCUCCGGCACGCGCAUCCCCGCCCUCGCUGAGCGGCGCCGUACGCGGCGGCGGCGACUACCCGAAGGGAGCGGCGGCGACCGCUCGGCGGCCGCGGGGGCAGUGGAGAAGGGCCUGCGCCUGGCCUUCUUGGAGCAGCUCGCAGAGCGCGCCCGCGCUGCCGACGCCCUCGGAGUCGCGGACACCAUCUACGACAUGGUCGCCGCAGGCCUCUCGCCCGGGCCCCGUUCCUUUCACGGGCUCGUCGCCGCACACGCCCUCGCUGGCGACGCCGAAGGCGCUAUGCAAGCUCUUAGGAGGGAGCUAAGUUCCGGCGUGCGUCCUUUACAUGAAACUUUUGUGGCUCUAGUCCGUGUCUUUGCCAAGAAGGGUCUUUCUACCAGGGCAAUGGAGAUUCUUGCUGCUAUGGAGAGAUAUAAGUAUGAUAUUCGCAAGGCUUGGCUAGUUCUUGUAGAGGAGCUAGUCAGGAACCAUUAUCUGGAGGACGCCAAUACAGUAUUUCUGAAAGGAGCAAAAGGUGGUUUACAAGGAACUGAUGAACUUUACGAUCUUUUGAUUGAAGAAGAUUGUAAAGCUGGAGACCACUCCAAUGCUCUAACAGUUGCAUACCAAAUGGAGGCUGCUGGAAGAAUGGCAACCACAUUCCAUUUUAAUUGCCUUCUCAGUGUGCAGGCUACGUGUGGAAUUCCUGAAAUUGCAUUUUCAACUUAUGAGAACAUGGAAUAUGGAGGUGAAGAUUACAUGAAACCUGAUACCGAGUCUUAUAAUUGGGUUAUACAGGCAUUUACUAGAGCUACUUCCCAUGAUAGGGCACCGGAUGUGGCAGAACUACUCGGGAUGAUGGUGGAAGACUACAAACGUGUUCAGCCUAAUGCAAGAACUUAUGCGUUGUUAGUGGAAUGCUUUACAAAGUACUGUAUGGUCAAUGAAGCGAUCAGGCAUUUUCGCGCUUUACGGAGAAUUCCUGGAGGAACAAAAGUUCUGUACAAUGCAGGGAAUUGCGGCGAUCCACUUUCUCUCUAUCUACGUUCACUGUGCCUUGAUGGAAGAGCUGAUGAGUUGCUUGAGGCCUUAGAAGCAAUGGCUGACGAUAACCAGACUAUUGCACCUCGAGCAAUGAUUUUAAACCGAAAAUACCGCACAUUGGUGAGCUCCUGGAUAGAACCAUUACAAGAAGAAGCUGAUGUUGGCUUCGACAUUGAUUAUGUAGCCAGGUAUAUUGAAGAAGGAGGUCUUACAGGUGAGCGCAAACGUUGGGUGCCUCGUAGAGGGAAAACUCCUCUAGAUCCAGAUGAAUUUGGUUUUGCCUAUUCAAAUCCAAUAGAGACAUCUUUUAAACUGCGGUGUUUUGAGGAAUUGAAGUUAUAUCACCGAAGACUCUUAAUUACACUGCGGAAUGAAGGCCCUGGUAUUUUAGGUGAUGUAUCUGAAGAUGAUGUACGAAGAGUAGUCGAAAGAUUAAAGAAAUUAGUUGUAGGGCCAAAGAAGAAUGUUGUUAAGCCCAAGGCAGCGAGCAAAAUGGUAGUAGCUGAAUUGAAAAUCGAGCUGGAGGCGCAAGGGUUACCUACAGAUGGAACUAGACAAGUACUUUACCAGCGAGUUCAAAAGGCCAGGCGAAUUAAUCGCUCACGUGGUAUACCUCUUUGGGUUCCUCCUGUAGAAGAUGAUGAAGUGGUCGACGAAGAGUUAGAUGAAAUGAUCUCACGAAUCAAGCUAGAAGAUGGAAACACAGAGUUCUGGAAACGGCGUUUUCUGGGAGAAACUCGAAACCAUCUUUGUGAAGAAGAUAGCAAAGAAGAUCCAGAUUUUGAUGACGAGUUAGAUGAGGACGACGACGAUGAUGAUGACGAUGAUUCCGCCAAAGAAGCAGAUGAAGAUGAGAUAGAUGAUGAGGUCAUUGACCGAACGGAAAAUCAAGCUGGUGAUGACGAGACUAAGGACAAACCAGCGAAAGGACCCAAUCAGCAUCUUCAAAUGAUAGGAGUCCAGUUAUUGAAGGAUCUAGAGAAGGCAUCUGGUUCAACAAAGAAAUUAAAAAAAAUACCUGAGAUUGAUGAUGACGAAGAUUGGUUUCCUGAAGAUCCAAUUGAAGCUUUCAAGGUUAUGCGCGAGACAAGAAUGUUUGACGUGGCAGAUAUGUAUACUACCGUGGAUGCCUGGGGAUGGACAUGGGAGAGAGAGCUAAAGAAAAAGAUGCCACGCAGAUGGUCACAGGAAUGGGAGGUUGAGUUAGCUAUCAAGAUAAUGAAUAAGGUAAUAGAGCUGGGUGGUAGUCCGACUAUUGGAGAUUGUGCCAUUAUACUGCGCGCAGCAAUGAGAGCUCCAGUCCCCUCUGCUUUUAUUACAAUAUUGCAAACAACACAUAGCCUGGGCCAUAAAUUUGGAAGCCCGCUGUACGACGAGGUAAUCUUGCUGUGCCUUGAUCUGGAGGAGAUGGAUGCGGCCAUCGCCGUGGUCGCAGAAAUGGAGACAAAUGGAAUUAAGGUCCUGGAUGAGACCUUGGACAGGGUUCUUGCAGCCAAACAAAUCGGGAACGGGAACUCUGCACUCCAACCACCAGCCGAGUAG
rnacentral:rRNA from 1 species